rnacentral:rRNA from 1 species
AGCUAGAGUUUGAUCAUGGCUCAGGACGAACGCUGGCGGCGCGCUUAACACAUGCAAGUCGAGCGAGAACCAAGCCUUCGGGCUUGGGGAAAGCGGCGAACGGGUGAGUAACACGUGGGUAACCCACCCUCGGUACCGGGAUAGCCCGGGGAAACCCGGAUUAAUACCGGAUGGCCCGACAGCCUCUCGAGGCGGUCGGAAAAGAUAGCUUCGGCCUUCGACCGAGGACGAGCUCGCGGCGGAUUAGCUUGUUGGUGGGGUAAUGGCCCACCAAGGCGACGAUCCGUAGCUGGUCUGAGAGGACGAUCAGCCACACUGGGACUGAGACACGGCCCAGACUCCUACGGGAGGCAGCAGUGGGGAAUCUUGCGCAAUGGGCGAAAGCCUGACGCAGCGACGCCGCGUGCGGGAAGAAGGCCUUCGGGUUGUAAACCGCUUUCAGGAGGGACGAAGCCACUCGGGUUAAUAGCCCAGAGGGUGACGGUACCUCCAGAAGAAGCCCCGGCUAACUACGUGCGCCCAAUCGCC